rnacentral:rRNA from 1 species
AUGGUGUCUUCGUCGUCGUCCCCCGCGGCCAGCGCCGAAGCCGACUCCCCGAUCGUCCACGUCGCCUUCAGCAGCGGCGCCUCCCACUUCGUCGCGUCCACGGCCACCGGGUUCCACGUCUUCUCCUGCGACGAGUCGGUCGAGCGCGUCCGCUACAAGUCCAUCGCCGACGUCUCGGACGGCGCCGAGGUGACCUCCGCCGAGAUGCUCACGUGGUCGCGCCUGGCCGUCGUGACCCGGGAGACGGGCGGCGCCGAGCACGAGGCGAUCUACUUUUUUGACGAGAGCAAGAAGGCGAUACGCAUCAGCUCGGACAAGACCCCCGGCCUCGGUGUCGUGGGCGGGAUCCGCCUUCUCGGGGACCGUGCGCUCAUCGCCGGCCAGAAGAUGGCGAUGCUGGUCCUCAGGGGCCACAUCAAGAACUCGGAGCUGGUCGCGACGGGCCCGAACCCGCUGGGGCUGUGCGCGCUGGCGGUUGACCGCCGAGCGGCGACGUUCAUGUACGCCCUGCCGCGGCCGGAGAAGGGCGCGGUGCAGGUCUGCCGGAGCGGCCAGCUCGGCAGCGUCGACGUGCGCGCGCACGCGUCGAGCCUGUCGUGCAUCGCGCUCUCCCGCGACGGCCGGCUGCUCGCCACGGCCGGCUCCAAGGGCACGCUCGUGCGCAUCUUCAGCACCGACGACGGCACCAUGGUGCAAGAGCUAAGGAGAGGUAUUGACAGAGCAGACAUCCACUGCAUCGCCUUCUCGCUGGAAUCCCAAUGGCUGGCCGUCUCCAGCGACAAGGGGACGGUGCACGUUUUCCCGGUCGCUAGCGUCAACAAGGCGACCGAGGGCGGCGGCGACGACAGCGAUAACAUGCCGGUAACACCACCGGCAGCGGCAGCGGCAGCGGCAACAGCCAAGCAGGGAUCGUCGCUAUCAUUCUUGAAAGGUUACUUGCCGAGCUACUUCAGCUCGGAGUGGUCGCUGGCUCAGGUCCGGCUCCGUGAAGGCGUCGACUACACGGUGGAGUUCUGGCGGCACCACCCCAACACCAUCCUCAUCGCCGGCACGGACGGAAGCUUCUACCGGUGCCGUUUUGACCCCGUGAACGCGGGCGAGAUGAAGGAGCUGGAACACGAGAGAUUCAUUAAGAAGAUCAAGGAGUGA